rfam:Asian citrus Psyllid, Diaphorina citri - Florida Strain, whole genome shotgun sequence.
GCCAGCGGCGAUAGCACGUACACCAGUUCCCAAAGGACCACUGAAGCUAAGCAACGUUGCGCGUGGUUGGUAUCCGGAAGGGGGACCAUGUGGGUAACGACGUGACGGUUUUUC